GAUAUCGCUGUGAAGAUGCAGUGUAUCCGCGGCUAGACGGAAAGACCCCGUGAACCUUUACUAUAGCUUUGCACUGGACUUUGAGCUUGCUUGUGUAGGAUAGGUGGGAGGCUUUGAAGUGGGGACGCCAGUUCUCAUGGAGCCAUCCUUGAAAUACCACCCUGGCAACCUUGAGGUUCUAACUCUGGUCCGUUAUCCGGAUCGAGGACAGUGUAUGGUGGGUAGUUUGACUGGGGCGGUCUCCUCCCAAAGAGGAACGGAGGAGUACGAAGGGGCGCUCAGACCGGUCGGUAAUCGGUCGCAGAGUAUAAAGGCAAAAGCGCGCUUGACUGCGAGCAAGACA
rnacentral:rRNA from 1 species